rnacentral:rRNA from 1 species
AUUGAACGCUGGCGGCAGGCUUAACACAUGCAAGUCGAGCGGAGAUGAGGUGCUUGCACCUUAUCUUAGCGGCGGACGGGUGAGUAAUGCUUAGGAAUCUGCCUAUUAGUGGGGGACAACAUUCCGAAAGGAAUGCUAAUACCGCAUACGUCCUACGGGAGAAAGCAGGGGAUCUUCGGACCUUGCGCUAAUAGAUGAGCCUAAGUCGGAUUAGCUAGUUGGUGGGGUAAAGGCCUACCAAGGCGACGAUCCGUAGCGGGUCUGAGAGGUUGAUCCGCCACACUGGGACUGAGACACGGCCCAGACUCCUACGGGAGGCAGCAGUGGGGAAUGUUGGACAAUGGGGGGAACCCUGAUCCAGCCAUGCCGCGUGUGUGAAGAAGGCCUUAUGGUUGUAAAGCACUUUAAGCGAGGAGGAGGCUACUGAGACUAAUACUCUUGGAUAGUGGACGUUACUCGCAGAAUAAGCACCGGCUAACUCUGUGCCAGCCGCCGCGGUAAGAC